AAASAAACYURAGURUMCUUUUUCCCGGMCCCUCUASCUSCCCAAAUSGGMGCGGCCGCYAGUGUGAUGGAUAUUUUUARRGGGSACCCUUAGAGUUUGAUCCUGGCUCAGAACGAACGCUGGCGGCGUGCUUGACACAUGCAAGUCGAACGUGAUCCAGARCUUGCUCUGGUGAAAGUGGCGCACGGGUGAGUAACGCGUGGAUAACCUGCCCUGGGAUCUGGGAUAACAUCUCGAAAGGGGUGCUAAUACCGGAUAAGCCUACGGGCUCUUCGGAGUCUGCAGGAAAAGGAGGCCUCUAUUUAUWAGCUUCCGUAUCAUGAUGGGUCCGCGUACCAUUAGCUAGUUGGKGGGGUAAUGGCCUACCAAGGCGACGAUGGUUAGCUGGUCUGAGAGGAUGAUCAGCCACACUGGGACUGAKACACGGUCCARACUCCUACGGGAGGCAGCAGUGGGGAAUUUUGCGCAAUGGGGGAAACCCUGACGCAGCAACGCCGCGUGAGUGAUGAAGGCUUUCGGGUCGUAAAGCUCUGUCAGAGGGGAAGAAAUGAAACGUGCUAAUAUCACGUUUUCUUGAUGGUACCYUCAAAGGAAGCACCGGCUAACU
rnacentral:rRNA from 1 species